UCAGAUGCAGGUGCUCAUGAAAUUCGAUUCUGUAACUGAGAAUCAAUGGAAAGGUUUGAGCAUGCUGCAAUGAAUUCUUGGGUGUUUUAUUCCAAGUCAGGACACUGAAGAAGUUGUCAAUGACCAGUGGCAAACUGUAGAAGAAGAAUGUGAAAAGAUAAAAAGAUAAGAGGCUACAGAAAGGCAUUGAAACAGACGGCAAAGCGAAGACAUCUGAUCAGUGGAAAUAAUAUAAUUUUGUAUAAACCAUCAUUGUAAAAUUAAUUCCAAGAUGAGUAAUAAAUGCCAGAGAAAUAACCAAUUUAAAGAUGAAUUUAUAUAGAUUUUUAAUGAAUGUUACAUAUUGUUUACACCAGCAUUAAUGGACAACAUUCCCAGAAAGAAGAAUGAGAGAAAUGAUAUUGAAAAACAACGUGAUCGAAAACUUGAUGUGUGCAAAGUGAAUCGAAACAACUCGAAAAUCAUGAAUGAAUGUGUCAGAACAAUGAUGAAGAAACAAGAAUCAGGAUCAUGUACAAGGUACUGUUGAUG